GAUGAACGCUGGCGGCGUGCCUAAUACAUGCAAGUCGAGCGAACGGACGAGAAGCUUGCUUCUCUGAUGUUAGCGGCGGACGGGUGAGUAACACGUGGAUAACCUACCUAUAAGACUGGGAUAACUUCGGGAAACCGGAGCUAAUACCGGAUGAUAUUUUGAACCGCAUGGUUCAAAAGUGAAAGACGGUCUUGCUGACACUUAUAGAUGGAUCCGCGCUGCAUUAGCUAGUUGGUAAGGUAACGGCUUACCAAGGCAACGAUGCAUAGCCGACCUGAGAGGGUGAUCGCCCCCCCUGGAACGGGAACACGCUCAAGCCUCCUGCGGGAGCCACCAGUAGGGAUUCUUCCGCAUUGAGCGAAGGCCUGACGGAGCACCGCCGCGUAGGGGAUAAGGGUCUUCGGAUCGUAAAACUCUGUUUUUAGGGAGGAACAUAUGUGUAGGUAACUGUGCACAUCUUGACGGUACCUUAUCAGAAAGCCACGGCUAACUACGUG
rnacentral:rRNA from 1 species